UACGAGGGGGGCGAGCGUUGUUCGGAAUUAUUGGGCGUAAAGGGUGCGUAGGCGGCCUGACAAGUCUGAUGUGAAAUCCCUGGGCUCAACCUGGGAACUGCGUUUGUGACUGUAUGACUAGAGUACGGUAGAGAGGGGUGGAAUUCCUGGUGUAGCAGUGAAAUGCGUAGAUAUCAGGAGGAACAUCGAUGGCGAAGGCAGCCCCUUGGACCUGUACCUGACGCUCAUGCACGAAAGCGUGGGGAGCAAACAGG
rnacentral:rRNA from 1 species